AACGAAAGCUGGCGGCAUGCCUAACACAUGCAAGUCGAACGAGACCUUCGGGUCUAGUGGCGCACGGGUGCGUAACGCGUGGUAAUCUGCCCUUGGGUUCGGAAUAACAGUUAGAAAUGACUGCUAAUACCGGAUAAUGACGUAAGUCCAAAGAUUUAUCGCCCAAGAAUAAGCCCGCGUAGGAUUAGCUUGUUGGUGAGGUAAAGGCUCACCAAGGCGACGAUCCUUAGCUGGUCUGAGAGGAUGAUCAGCCACACUGGGACUGAGACACGGCCCAGACUCCUACGGGAGGCAGCAGUGGGGAAUAGUGGACCAUGAGCGAAAGCCUGAUCCAGCAAUGCCGCGUGAGUGAUGAAGGCCUUAGGGUUGUAAAGCUCUUUUACCCGGGAUGAUAAUGACAGUACCGGGAGAAUAAGCCCCGGCUAACUCCGUGCCAGCCGCCGCAGUAAUAC
rnacentral:rRNA from 1 species